GGGCGGUUAGCUCAAUUGGGAGAGCAUCGGCCUUACAAGCCGAGGGUCACUGGUUCGAGCCCAGUACCGCCCACCA
rnacentral:tRNA from 1 species